rnacentral:lncRNA from 1 species
CCUCAUUAAAAUGCAGAUUCUGAUUCAUUCAGUAAAUCUAGGGUGGAGCUGGUCAUUCAGAAUUUCUAACAAACUUCUGAAUGAUAUUGAUGCUACUGGUCUGUGGACUAUACUUUGAGUGGCACUGCUCUAGAGGUAUUUCUAAAGUGGUCAAAUUUGACAUCAAAUACAGCCUCUGCUCACAGAAUGGUGCUGACUUCAUUAUUCUCACUUGACUGAUGAGGACUAUGUUACUUAGAGAAGUGCAGCUAUUUGCAUUCGGCAACCAAGAAUGAAUGUAGAUGCCAUUAACCAAGGGAUGCCUAAGAAAUGUGGAUACCCUUAUCCUACCCGAUCUAUAAUAUUUUAACCUGGAAAUUAGCUUUCCUAGUGCUGACACUGGCCUUGCUUACAACUUUGGCUGAAACCAAAUCAGUAGUGAUAUUGAUUAUAGCCUGUUAAACAAGUAUGGAACAUUAGAGAAAUGCAAAUUGCUCUUAACCUUCCUCUCUUCUUCCUGUUCCACCUCCUUCAUUUCCUUCCUCCUCUCACGUUAUUAUGUGCUGUUUGGAGAGUCUCCAAAUCUUCAUUUGGACCCGCAGGACAAUGGGAAAGAAUAUAUCAAGCAGAAAAUGGAAUCCUUUUUACAUUCUUGUAACAUUAACAUACAAAAAAUAUGCUUAAGAUUUCAGGUAAUACAGAUGCAACAAACAGGCUUUCACAUCGUCCCAGAAUGAUGACUGAAUACUGCAUUCUUGGUUCAGAGCAAAGCCAACAGGUGGUUCAGCUAUCUUUCUUCAUGCUUAAGAUAGAAACAAAUUCAGAAACCAGCUCUACUCCAACCAUCCUCCCUCCACACAGUCAACACAAGAAGACAGACUAUCCCCCCACCCACAUUUCUGUGGAGGACAUGCUGUCUUUUCCCAAGGCCAAGUGGAGGUCCCAAAAGAAUUUCUGUUUAAAAAAAACACAAAGUGGGGAAACCUAUAAAAAGGGUGACUGUCAUUUUUAUUCCAUUUUGAAUGUCUGCUUUACCAGAGAAUUGACGACAAUCAGAUGGGAGGAGUGAGCAUUUUACCAGUAAACCAUGUUGGAGUCACCAUCUGUCUACAACAGCUACCUGGAGUGCAUAUACAAUGAGGGAGAAUGGCAGUUACCACCAACUUCAGGCAGAACUGUGGCUGGCCCAGUCAGGAAGAUAUGUUUUGUUCUUUUCCUGCUACCUCAGCCUCACCCUGACAGGGAAGAGAGCAGCAGUGGGUAGAGGAAGGGGAGAGGAGAGAAGUGAAAGUCAGACCAUGCAACACACCCUUCCAUUACAGAUUAGCCCUGAGCUAACGGCUGCCAAUCCUCCUCUUUUUGCUGAGGAAGACUGACCCUGAGCUAACAUCCAUGCCCAUCUUCCUCUAUUUUAUACGUGGAAGCCUACCACAGCGUGACUUUUGCCAAGUGGUGCCAUGUCCACACCCGGUAUCUGAACCAGUGAACCCCGGGCCGCCGAGAAGCAGAAGCAUGGCUUGAUGAGUGUUAUGUAGGUCUGCGCCCAGGAUCUGAACCUGUGAACCCUGGGCCACCAAAGUGGAGUGCACAAACUUAACCACUACCCCACCAGGCUUUGGGAAAGCCCUAGGAAUUGCCUGAUGAAGUCGCCUAGCGAUUGCCGGAGCCUGAUCAUGCAACAGGGGAAGACAUGCUCGUAAAGUGCCCAAGUUCUCCUACCAGAGGAAGUCCCGUCCUGCUGCAGCACUUCCUAGAACUGAGUGUGGAUCCAACCCUCCCUCACAGCCAUGGGACCCUGAGAACACUGACGUCAUCUCUCCUUCAACCAUAUUACCAUGGGUGAGGUAAGGUGAGGCCAGAUGCGGAUCUAGAGAAACCAGAAAGAAUUUUACAGUUUUGGUAGACUCAUAGUUCCCUCGGGAGGACACAGCCCGCCACACAGGGACAGUCAGGGCAAGUACCAGGGUCUACAGGAGGCAGAGACAGGGAGCAGAGCUGUGGUUAAGUGCCUUUAUUGUGGUUUCCAUGGGAAGGAAUGAGAAAGGCAGGGUAGGUUGUUUUUGGAUUGGCCUACAUUUGAAAGUGGCGUCCCCAUGAAAUUCAUGUUCACUGUGACUGUUAGAGUAUAUGGUUUGGGGCUAUCUAAAGUUUCCAGAUGUUUUUGAGUGAGCCAGAGUUUAUUUGGGAACAGCUAGUAGCCAUUUUGUAGAUGUUAAGGCAUUGAUUUACAGACGUUAAAAGAAUGGUUAAUACAAUCCCCACUUCAAGUAUAAGUCUGAUGAGUCUAAGCCGUGUAGGUGUCUUCCUGGUGAUGCAUGACGCAAUUUUUCCCAAUCCUACUUGGCUGAGAAGGACUUGGAGAGCAUGACCUGGCCAUCUAAGGCUAUGACAGGAAUGCAGACUUCACACUGCAUGCCAGCAUGGAAUGAGACCCAGAUGAGGCAGAUUACAUCUCAGCAGAGGCCAAUGUAGGCAGAGAAUUUUCAUGGAC